AAAUCAACACUUUUGUGAGUGUUUUUCUAUUCUCCUUUCAAAGUUAUAGGUGGCAAAGGAGGUAUGCAUGUGUAAGGUGUUCUCACUUACAAGAGCAUUUGUAGUGGUAAGGAAAGAUUAGCUUCCUGUUUGAAUGAUAUCCAGAUGUGAUAAAAUACCAGAUUAGCCCUGUGAUGCCGUAGAAAUUCCUCUGCUCACUCAGUGUGCUCCAUUCGGAUUGCUCUCUCUCUGCCUUUUGAUCUGCUGAUUUUUUAAUCAGGAAUUUUUAUAAAUUCUUAGGGACAUAGCUAUCAUAAUAACAUAUUAAAGCACAGCGAAUUGGACUGUCGUCCCCUCUAGUAGCUUCCUGAAAUCAUCCAUGGUAGGAAAAUUCUCUGCUGAGGAGAGGAACUUAAGACAUUAUUAGAGAUGGUUUCAUUUAAGAUGAUUGGCUAAAUACAUGUUUAUUUCUUCUCUCCCAUUAAAAUCUAUUGAAAUGUUAGAAGAG
rnacentral:lncRNA from 1 species